UACGUAGGGUGCAAGCGUUAUCCGGAAUUACUGGGCGUAAAGAGCUCGUAGGUGGUUUGUCGCGUUGUUCGUGAAAACUCACAGCUUAACUGUGGGCGUGCGGGCGAUACGGGCAGACUGGAGUACUGCAGGGGAGACUGGAAUUCCUGGUGUAGCGGUGGAAUGCGCAGAUAUCAGGAGGAACACCGGUGGCGAAGGCGGGUCUCUGGGCAGUAACUGACGCUGAGGAGCGAAAGCGUGGGGAGCGAACAGG
rnacentral:rRNA from 1 species